GAUGAACGCUAGCGGCAGGCCUAAUACAUGCAAGUCGGACGGGAUUGAGGAGCUUGCUUCUCAUGAGAGUGGCGCACGGGUGCGUAACACGUAUGUAACCUAACUUGUUCAGGGGGAUAGCCUCUCGAAAGAGAGAUUAGGACCGCAUAACGUAGUGAUGUGGCAUCAUAUUACUACCAAAUAUUUAUAGGAACAAGGUGGACAUGCGGAACAUUAGCUAGUUGGUAAGGUAACGGCUUACCAAGGCUACGAUGUUUAGGGGAUCUGAGAGGAUUACCCCCCACACUGGUACUGAGACACGGACCAGACUCCUACGGGAGGCAGCAGUAAGGAAUAUUGGUCAAUGGACGGAAGUCUGAACCAGCCAUGCCGCGUGCAGGAAGACGGCCCUACGGGUUGUAAACUGCUUUUAUACGGGAAUAAACCUACUUACGUGUAAGUAGCUGAAUGUACUGUAAGAAUAAGGAUCGGCUAACUCCGUGCCAGCCGCCGCCGUAAGAC
rnacentral:rRNA from 1 species